UCUGUGCCUAUGAUGGUUUUAAAUAUACUAUGAGGAACUCCUAUGAAAACAAUUUAAUCUGAGGCACUUA